AUACGGAGGAUGCGAGCGUUAUCCGGAUUUAUUGGGUUUAAAGGGUGCGUAGGCUGUGCGUUAAGUCAGGGGUGAAAUGCCGUCGCUCAACGACGGAGCUGCCCUUGAUACUGGCGUGCUGGAGUACGGAUGCCGUUGGAGGAAUGAGUGGUGUAGCGGUGAAAUGCUUAGAUAUCACUCAGAACACCGAUUGCGAGGGCAUCUGACGAAUCCGUCACUGACGCUGAGGCCCGAAAGCGUGGGGAUAGAACAGGAUUAGAUACCCUGGUAUUCCACGCCGUAAACGAUGAUGACUAACCGUCGGCGAUAGACAGCCGGUGGCCAAGCGAAAGCGAUAAGUCAUCCACCUGGGGAGUACGUCGGCAACGAUGAAACUCAAAUGAAUUGACGGGG
rnacentral:rRNA from 1 species